GUGACCCCAGGAUGGGCGAGGUCACCCGCUGAGUUUAAG
rnacentral:rRNA from 1 species